rnacentral:rRNA from 1 species
GAUGAACGCUGGCGGCGUGCCUAAUACAUGCAAGUCGAGCGAACGGACGAGAAGCUUGCUUCUCUGAUGUUAGCGGCGGACGGGUGAGUAACACGUGGAUAACCUACCUAUAGGACUGGGAUAACUUCGGGAAACCGUAGCUAAUACCGGAUAAUAUUUUGAACCGCAUGGUUCAAAAGUGAAAGACGGUCUUGCUGUCACUUAUAGAUGGAUCCGCGCUGCAUUAGCUAGUUGGUAAGGUAACGGCUUACCAAGGCAACGAUGCAUAGCCGACCUGAGAGGGUGAUCGGCCACACUGGAACUGGGACACGGUCCAGACUCCUACGGGAGGCAGCAGUAGGGAAUCUUCCGCAAUGGGCGAAAGCCUGACGGAGCAACGCCGCGUGAGUGAUGAAGGUCUUCGGAUCGUAAAACUCUGUUAUUAGGGAAGAACAUAUGUGUAAGUAACUGUGCACAUCUUGACGGUACCUAAUCAGAAAGCCACGGCUAACUACGUG